rnacentral:tRNA from 3 species
GGGGUUAUAGCUCAGUUGGGAGAGCGUCUCGUUCGCAAUGAGAAGGUCAGGGGUUCGAUUCCCCUUAACUCCACCA